UGGGGAAUAUUGCACAAUGGGCGCAAGCCUGAUGCAGCGACGCCGCGUGGGGGAUGACGGCCUUCGGGUUGUAAACCUCUUUCAGCAUCGACGAAGCCUGGGGUUUUCUUCGGGUGACGGUAGGUGCAGAAGAAGCACCGGCCAACUACGUGCCAGCAGCCGCGGUAAUACGUAGGGUGCGAGCGUUGUCCGGAAUUACUGGGCGUAAAGAGCUCGUAGGUGGUUUGUCGCGUUGUUCGUGAAAUGCCACAGCUUAACUGUGGGCGUGCGGGCGAUACGGGCAGACUGGAGUACUGCAGGGGAGACUGGAAUUCCUGGUGUAGCGGUGGAAUGCGCAGAUAUCAGGAGGAACACCGGUGGCGAAGGCGGGUCUCUGGGCAGUAACUGACGCUGAGGAGCGAAAGCGUGGGGAGCGAACAGG
rnacentral:rRNA from 1 species